rnacentral:lncRNA from 1 species
CUUCUACAUCCAAGCCAACCACGACAGUGAAAAAAGAUGCUUCAUCUUCUUCUCGGCCAACAUCAUCUCGACCUCAAUGUUUCAAGUGUUCUGGCUAUGGGCACAUUGCUUCUGAGUGUCCAAAUAGAAGAAUGGUUUCUCUUGUCGAAGAAGGUGAUGGUGAAGAAAAUGAGUCAGAUUCUAUAUAUGAUGAAAUUGAAG